rnacentral:rRNA from 1 species
UKCGMCGMUGGSAKCSUGCGCUGAUACAUGCAAGUCGAGCGAACUGAUUAGAAGCUUGCUUCUAUGACGUUAGCGGCGGACKGKUGAGUAACACGUGGGCAACCUGCCUGUAAGACUGGGAUAACUUCGGGAAACCGAAGCUAAUACCGGAUAGGAUCUUCUCCUUCAUGGGAGAUGAUUGAAAGAUGGUUUCGGCUAUCACUUACAGAUGGGCCCGCGGUGCAUUAGCUAGUUGGUGAGGUAACGGCUCACCAAGGCAACGAUGCAUAGCCGACCUGAGAGGGUGAUCGGCCACACUGGGACUGAGACACGGCCCAGACUCCUACGGGAGGCAGCAGUAGGGAAUCUUCCGCAAUGGACGAAAGUCUGACGGAGCAACGCCGCGUGAGUGAUGAAGGCUUUCGGGUCGUAAAACUCUGUUGUUAGGGAAGAACAAGUACAAGAGUAACUGCUCGUACCUUGACGGUACCUAACCAGAAAGCCACGGCUAACUACGUGCCAGCAGCCGCGGUAAUACGUAGGUGGCAAGCGUUAUCCGGAAUUAUUGGGCGUAAAGCGCGCGCAGGCGGUUUCUUAAGUCUGAAUUGAAAGCCCACGGCUCAACCGUGGAGGGUCAUUGGAAACUGGGGAACUUGAGUGCAAAAAGAGAAAAAGCGGAAUUCCACCUUGUAGCGGUGAAAUGCGUAGAGAUGUGGAAGGAACACCAGUGGCGAAGGCGGCUUUUUUG